AUGCGGCAAACAGCUGGUGUUUGUUGAAUUUUGAGCGGUUAUGUAGACAAACCAAAAGUCGAAAUGAACACAUAACACAGCCGCGGGCAAACGCAAGGUUACAUUACGGAAUUUAUAAUAAAAUAAACGAACGGAUAAAUUUUGAAUGGAAGAAAUCUGUGGGAAUGUAGGAAAUUGUGAUGCAGUGUUGGUUGCCUAUGUCACAAAUACAAUUUAAGUUUUCAACUCGCAGUUAUUAAUCAAUUAUUCUGAAGUUAAACGUUUUAUAAUAGAUUUAUUGCAUAAAAUAGUUGUUUAGGUAAAUAUACAUUUGGUUUACAACAAAUUAUUGUUAAAAAGCUAGCCGGUUUUGCAUUCUACCCUAAAAUUUAAUAUUUAACCUAAAAUAUUGAAUAAAACUGUGUUGUUGACAUUUGUAUUAUUUUAAUACAUUAUUUUCAUCAAACAACUACGAAAAUCUAACUCAGAAACUGUUUGCUUUCGAUUUUCAUCUUCUCUACCAACUUUCAUUUAUGGUUAUAUUGUUUUUCGCUACAUGAAACUGGAAAGCUCGCCGGCGCACAGUUCCUUGAACCCGGACGCUAUUAAUUUUAUUGGGAUAUCAAAAGGAUAACUCCGGCGGGCAUGACUGCGCGUCUCCUGCGACGACACAAAACACUGACAUGGCGAAUAAAGCAGAAAGUCGGCAUUAAUUAUGGAACAGGGGCGGCUGGCUUGCAUCCAUUCAUUAUGAACCAUGGGAAAUGUAAUAUUGAUCUACUGACAUUGAAUUCAACACUGGUGGGAAUUUUGCAGGAGUCAGCUUUGAAAUUCAACGCAAUAAAAUUGUAUUGUCAUGCAAUGCAACUUUACGAUGAGAUUGCAGGAAAAAAUUUAUAAUAAGCUUGAUAGACGACGUGGAAAGCCAGCUAGAAUAUAUUACACGUAUAUUCCAUCGGUUUUAUUACCUCUAAACAUAUUGUAACUCAAUGGUAGACUAAAUUUCGUACUUUUUCAGUUUUUAUGUUUUUUUUGUUUAAUUUUGGUUAAAUACCUAUCAAAUUCUCUUGUAAUUAUUGAUGGUUGGAUAAUGCUGGACUACGUGUAAUAUGAUAACACUCGGUGUUUAAUCAGCAUGGUUGUUUUAUCUGGUUGAGUCUUUCUCGCCUACAGCCUGUACCAGACGCGGUUAUCGAUCUCGUUCGGCGAGAGCAGCGGACCACAACCACCAGCAGAAUUUCGCACAUUUCUACAGUGGGGGUUGGUUCAGUGGCUGUGAGCAUGGCAACACUCUUGUGCCAGGAAUUGGCACAAUUUUCAGAGCAUGCCUUUUUCAUUUGACUUUAAAUGCUAUUUUAUACCAAACUCUAGGAGAAUAAAAACCAAAUGCAAUUGAAAUUUAAUUUGUGGCUUACAUAAAACCUGCAUUUGCGUAGAGAAGAUAAUAGCGUUUAAUUUAACGUAAAUAUUUUGAAUUAUUUUGGAUUAUUAUGUGGAUUUUCAGUAGGAAUUAGUUCAAUUAAAAGAAUUAGAUUAGUAUGUCAAUCGCAGCACUCAAGCCCAUGUUUUGUUGAAGCAGUACGCCUGCAAUUCUGCUGGAUGUGGAUCAGAGUGGAAAAUCAAUUUAGGGCAGUUAUUUGAAUCCCCUUCGUUUAAUUUCAAUCGUAAAUAACUUUUAACAGUUACAAUUUGCUAAUUCUCCCAACAUUAAUACGAAAAUGCAAUCAAAUUUAGAGAUUGCAUGUAAAUGCACUUUAAUAAUAUUUGCUGAUCACUUCCGAUAAAGAUUCCAAAUCACUAAAUCAACAUUGCUACGAGAUACUACAACUUACUUACACAAAAUGACUAAACAUAGGGUGGGAGUUGAAUUCGCGUAACCCACUUUCACAAAACACAAAUUAUUUCCGAUUUUGGUGGGCAUUUGAAGUUGAUCCAAAGCUAAUUACACGCGUGUGCCUUUCGCCAACUAGAAAUAUGCGGUGUGUUCCGCGUUCGCAAACAUGAAUUCGUUUGAAUGGAGUAGUUGCAAGCGUUGCAAGCGUAAAUUUAGCGACAUGAGCGUACCCGCCCACGAAACGUAUUUGGGUCAGGGAGAGCCAGGGAAGACCGAUAUAUACAACAACUAGUUAAGCCUUGUUCAAGUUUGCCCUCAAACACGUAUUUAUACUGUUUCGUCGCUGUCACUUUUGCUUUCAACCUUUGAUCAUUCACGUUGUUUGCUGCAAGUUGCGAAAAUUAGCCAUCUCAAAAUGCGCCGGUUUUAAUUACGUUGAUCGCUGCAGCUGGACCAAAUAAUUAAUAUGAACGAAUCAGCGAUUUCGUGUCGUCGACCGUUGAUGCGCUGGGACAUCGUAAAGCGAUGAACGCGCUCGAUUGAGUACCCGUCUCGACAUCAUAUCAUUCGACGAUGUCGAUUAAACGCUGCCCGAAAUGAGCGCAGAGAUGAAACAGUAGCAGCUGUAAUAAAUGGAAGUCUGGAACGAGCAGAUAACGCGCAGAUAAACACAAAUCCUCUAAAGAGAAUCCAAUUUGGUGCAAUUGAUGAAAAAAUAAAACCAUUUUAUGUUGUUUUUAACAUUAUAUGCUUGAUAUCACUUAGCGUAAUUAUUGUUUAGUGCACCAAUGAAUCGUAAAUUUUAAUUGAAAGCGUUUUUUGAAUGAAGCCAAUUACUCCAACCGACAGCACCGCGGCUAUUAUCUAAUAAACGGUAGAAAUGCUGAAUAGAUUUGUUGUUUGGGUUCGUACAGUCGCGAAGCCAUUUUGUUUUGACUGCACUGUUUAACGAUCAUGAUCAUGGUCCUUUUCAUCAUACACCUACACAUAUUAUACUUAAAUAUACAGUGUGUCUUUAUAACAGUCAUAAAUCUAUAAAAUUUAUAAAAAUUAUUCUAAAA